GACGAACCGUGCAAACGUUAUUCGGAAUCACUGGGCUUAAAGCGUGCGUAGGCGGCUAAGCAAGUUGGGUGUGAAAUCCCUCGGCUCAACCGAGGAAUUGCGCUCAAAACUACUUAGCUUGAGGGAGUUAGAGGUGAGCGGAACUAAUGGUGGAGCGGUGAAAUGCGUUGAUAUCAUUAGGAACACCGGUGGCGAAAGCGGCUCACUGGGACUCUUCUGACGCUGAGGCGCGAAAGCUAGGGGAGCAAACGGG
rnacentral:rRNA from 1 species